rnacentral:lncRNA from 1 species
AUGAGACCCCAUCCAGGGCAUCGCCUCCUUUGCAUGAAAUUCCAGCUGGAAGGGCCUUGCAGCUCAUGUUUCCUAGUUUGCCGUGGAGUUAGAGAGGCAAUCAGUUUGCUGAAGAAAUCCACCUAUGCUAAUGAAAAGAAAAAAGGAGAGCCUCUGCUUAGAAGUUCCAUGGGUGUAAGGCUGAGAGGGAAGAAUGUGAAGUUGUGAGGCUGCAUAAAGCUCCACCAGUGCCUGGACCAGUGAAACCAUGGCCUAGGAUUAGGAGGUACAAAGAACAGGGUUGUGCAUUCAUACAUGGGUGUGUAGACACAUGCAACUUGCCUGUCUACCAGGCUUUCUGUGCCACAAAGA